UACGUAAGGGGCAAGCGUUGUCCGGAAUCAUUGGGCGUAAAGCGCGCGUAGGUGGCCCCGUAAGUCCGCUGUGAAAGUCAAAGGCUCAACCUUUGAAAGCCGGUGGAUACUGUGGGGCUAGAGUACGGAAGAGGCGAGUGGAAUUCCUGGUGUAGCGGUGGAAUGCGCAGAUAUCAGGAGGAACACCAAUAGCGAAGGCAGCUCGCUGGGACGUUACUGACACUGAGGCGCGAAAGCGUGGGGAGCGAACAGG
rnacentral:rRNA from 1 species